AUGGCGACUGCGGCGGUGACGGCGGCCGCGGUGUCCCCGGCGCCGGCGGCCGUGGCGGAGGGCGCCUCUUCAGUGCACUGGUUCCGCAAGGGGCUGCGGCUUCACGACAAUCCCGCGCUGCUGGCGGCCGUGCGCGGGGCGCGCUGCGUGCGUUGCGUUUACAUCCUCGACCCCUGGUUCGCGGCCUCUUCCUCGGUCGGCAUCAACCGGUGGAGGUUCCUGCUUCAGUCUCUGGAAGACUUGGACACAAGUCUGAGAAAACUGAACUCACGCCUGUUUGUAGUCCGGGGACAGCCAGCUGAUGUGUUCCCGAGGCUGUUCAAGGAAUGGGGGGUGACCCGCUUGACCUUCGAGUAUGACUCCGAACCCUUCGGGAAGGAACGGGAUGCUGCCAUCAUGAAGAUGGCCAAGGAGGCCGGCGUGGAGGUGGUGACUGAGAACUCGCACACACUCUAUGACCUGGACAGGAUCAUCGAGCUGAAUGGGCAGAAGCCGCCCCUCACCUAUAAGCGCUUCCAGGCCAUCAUCAGCCGCAUGGAGCUGCCCAAGAAGCCCGUGGGCUCUGUGACCAGCCAGCAGAUGGAGGGCUGCCGGGCCGACAUCCAGGAGAACCAUGACGAGACCUAUGGUGUGCCCUCUCUGGAGGAGCUGGGGUUCCCCACGGAAGGACUGGGUCCAGCUGUAUGGCAAGGAGGAGAGACCGAAGCACUGGCCCGCCUGGAUAAGCACUUGGAACGGAAGGCCUGGGUUGCCAACUAUGAGAGACCUCGAAUGAACGCCAACUCCCUGCUGGCCAGCCCCACGGGCCUCAGCCCCUACCUGCGCUUCGGUUGCCUGUCCUGCCGCCUCUUCUACUACCGCCUGUGGGACCUGUACAAAAAGGUGAAGCGGAACAGCACACCCCCGCUCUCCCUCUUUGGGCAACUUCUGUGGCGAGAGUUUUUCUACACGGCAGCUACCAACAACCCCAGGUUUGACCGCAUGGAGGGGAACCCCAUCUGUAUCCAGAUCCCCUGGGACCGCAACCCCGAGGCUCUGGCCAAGUGGGCCGAGGGCAAGACAGGCUUCCCUUGGAUUGACGCCAUCAUGACCCAGCUGAGGCAGGAGGGCUGGAUCCACCAUCUGGCUCGGCACGCCGUGGCCUGCUUCCUCACGCGCGGGGACCUCUGGGUCAGCUGGGAGAGCGGGGUCCGGGUGUUCGACGAGCUGCUCCUGGACGCAGAUUUCAGCGUGAACGCAGGCAGCUGGAUGUGGCUGUCCUGCAGCGCCUUCUUCCAGCAGUUCUUCCACUGCUACUGCCCCGUGGGCUUCGGCCGCCGCACGGACCCCAGUGGAGACUACGUCAGACGAUACCUACCCAAAUUGAAAGGCUUCCCCUCUCGGUACAUCUAUGAGCCCUGGAAUGCCCCCGAGUCCGUUCAGAAGGCAGCCAAGUGCGUCAUCGGUGUGGACUACCCGCGGCCCAUCGUCAACCACGCCGAGACCAGCCGGCUCAACAUUGAGCGAAUGAAGCAGAUUUACCAGCAGCUGUCGCGCUACCGGGGACUCUGUCUCCUGGCGUCUGUCCCCGCCUGUGUGGAAGACCUCAGCAACCCAGUGGCAGAGCCCAGCUCGAGCCAGGCUGGCAGCACAAGCAGUGCAGGCCCACGACCACUCCCCAGCGGCGCAGCCUCUCCCAAGCGCAAGCUGGAAGCCGAGGAGGAGGCCCCUGGUGAAGAACUCAGCAAACGGGCCAGGGUGGCGGGGCUGCCCACCCCAGAGGCGCCCGGCAAGGACGUCUGAGCUUACGUAGCUCUGUGACACUGAACAAGUUCCGUUCUGCCCUGCAAAUCAGGAACUCGCCAGGCUAGUGCUCUGAUGCUUCAGCUGCAGCACCGUGGCCCCGUGAACAAAGCUGGCGCACCCGAGCAACAGCCACGCUGCAGCGCACCUGCAGAAAAGCUGGUCACUGACGGAGCGAGCAGGCCUGUGCGCGUGCGCGUGGGGGGAGCGCUGUGCCUGGGCGCCUGCGCGCGCUUCUGCUCACACGCUGACCUGCACGCCGCCAGGGCUGGAGGGGCCCCUGCAGCACCUCGCCUCCACCCCGACCCCAGAGUGGAGGUUAUGGGGUGGAGACCUGUCCCGGCAAGCCAGCUGCCUGUCUGCCUAGAGGAGGGUGGGACCCUCGCUGGAUCCUGGCAUCUCCCCGCCCUCCCAAAGUCUCCUCCUUCCCUCCUUCCAUCAGUCUGAGGAGCAGGGAGGCACCAUUUUGGACUCUCGUCCAGAACGUGAGAUUGUAGAGACAGCCAGAGCCCUGCUGAGUUCCCCCUAUGACCCUGAGACUGGGCAGGCUGGAGUGGACGGGUACUGUCCAGUCAUCUGGCCUGGCUUCUCUCUUUGAAAUUUCCUGCCACCUGGCCUUCCAGCCCCUUCCUCAGGCAUCUAGACUGAGCACAGUGUUUCUGGCAUCAAAUGGAAACGUCCAGGCACCCACCGGCAUGCUGUGUGCAUGGUGCUAAGCUGACAGCCAAGGCAGCGCGUUCACCUUUGGGGACUGAACCCUAAGGUCAGGAACAGAACCCCAGCCCUCUCUCUUCCUUCCCUCAACACUGUGCUCCAGGUUCUUGGUGGUUUAACCCCUGGCCCUCUUGCCACUCUAGGGCAGCUGACAUCCAAACAUGGGGGCCAUUCUAGUCCAUGUUCUGGAGGCUUCCAGGACCAGCCCUGGACUGUUCAGUGCAAGCCAUGUCACUCUCCCAAGGGCUGGACACUCGAGGACCCAGGCAGGUCUCAGGCGGCACUGCCAGGGGUACUUGGGGAAGGUCCCAGCACGCCAACAUUUCCAGAAGCAGCAGGUGGGAGGUUUGCCCCAGAGAAGCCAAGGAAUGCAAGUGCAGGAGGCCUUGCGUUCCAGGCGUGACCUGUGCCUCCCACUCCCACCCACUGCCGAUGGCCUGCGUUGGGAAAGACAUAAUGAGAAGAAGGACUGUGCGGUCAGCAGCAAGUCUUCCUUCCACCUGCGGCCUGCACUCGAGCCACAGAGUGUGUGUGUGCUGUGGGGUUGUGCAGGUGCACGGGUGGCUGAGAGCUGAUUCCCCUUAGAACUUCACGCUCACAUGUAAAUUGAGCUGGCCUCCGGGCGCCUCCUCUCUACCUCCCCUGUGAUCGCUCCUAGCCCCAUAGCUGUUGACUCCCUUGGCCGCAGCCCUGCCCCUUCUCACCUUUGGUCCUGGCACUAAGACCCAGGGACAGGCCCCGUCUCCUGGGCUGCCCAGCACAUUGCCGGCUUCCCGAGAUGCCUUUGGGUUCCCACAGCCUGUCAUCACAGGCCAGCUGUGGGCCCUCGCUGGAGAUGCCCCUGAUUUCAGGUGGUGGGCAGGGCACAGGUGACGGCGUGUGUUUGCAGCAUUGCGCCAGGGCCUCCGACCCCAGUCAGGAGGAAAGUGAGCUGGGGCUGUAGACACCGGGGGCCAGGCUGGAAGAGCCGCUCCGAGAAACUGCGCAGUCUGGAGCGCACAGGCGGGUGCGUGUGCCCGGCGGCAUCCGGUUCCCUUUCCCUGCCCACCGAAUGCUGUUGCUCUCACCUAAGGUGCACCAUGGGGGGCACCUGCCCUGUCUCUCCACCACCCGUGACUUACCAGCCCACUCCCUACUGAAGGGAGUGCGGGGGUGGGGUGACGAGAGGGCACAGCCAUGGCCUGUGUCCGCAGCGGCUUUGUGCGCUGCCCCUUGGCCCAGGUGUGCCUGGGGGCUGCUGCAGAGCUUUGCCCAAAUUGACUCAGGUCUCAGCAUGGGGAAGAGAUGGUCACAGGCAAAAUGCACUUUAUAGAGCGAUUUUCUGUUACGGGGAAGGUGUGUUUCUUCCACAGUGUUUGUACUCACUUGUCUCAUAAAUGUCUGAUCCUGUCU